rnacentral:rRNA from 1 species
AACGAACGCUGGCGGCAUGCCUAACACAUGCAAGUCGAACGAGACCUUCGGGUCUAGUGGCGCACGGGUUCGUAACGCGUGGGAACCUGCCCUUAGGUUCGGAAUAACUCCCCGAAAGGGGUGCUAAUACCGGAUAGGGUCUUCGGCCCAAAGAUUUUUCGCCUUUGGAUGGGCCCUCGUUGGAUUAGCUAGUUGGUAGGGUAAAAGCCUACCAAGGCGACGAUCCAUAGCUGGUCUGAGAGGAUGAUCAGCCACACUGGGACUGAGACACGGCCCAGACUCCUACGGGAGGCAGCAGUGGGGAAUAUUGGACAAUGGGCUAAAGCCUGAUCCAGCAAUGCCGCGUGAGUGAUGAAGGCCUUAGGGUUGUAAAGCUCUUUUACCCGGGAUGAUAAUGACAGUACCGGGAGAAUAAGCUCCGGCUAACUCCGUG